UACGUAGGUGGCAAGCGUUGUCCGGAUUUACUGGGCGUAAAGAGCGCGCAGGCGGUCGUCCAAGUCGCGUGUGAAAGCCCCCCGGCUCAACUGGGGAGGGUCACGCGAUACUGGUCGACUCGAAGGCAGGAGAGGGUAGUGGAAUUCCCGGUGUAGUGGUGAAAUGCGUAGAUAUCGGGAAGAACACCCGUGGCGAAGGCGGCUCUCUGGGACGGUACUGACGCUGAGACGCGAAAGCGUGGGGAGCGAACAGG
rnacentral:rRNA from 1 species